rnacentral:rRNA from 1 species
GACGAACGCUGGCGGCGUGCUUAACACAUGCAAGUCGAACGGAAAGGCCCUGCUUUUGUGGGGUGCUCGAGUGGCGAACGGGUGAGUAACACGUGAGUAACCUGCCCUUGACUUUGGGAUAACUUCAGGAAACUGGGGCUAAUACCGGAUAUGAUCUCCUGCUGCAUGGUGUUGGUUGGAAAGUUUCGGCGGUUGGGGAUGGACUCGCGGCUUAUCAGCUUGUUGGUGGGGUAGUGGCUUACCAAGGCUUUCACGGGUAGCCGGCCUGAGAGGGUGACCGGCCACAUUGGGACUGAGAUACGGCACAGACUCCUAAGGGAGGCAGAAGUGGGGAAGAUUGAAGAAUGGGCGGAAGCCUGAUGAAGAAACGCCGCGUGCGGGAUGACGGCCUUAGGGUUGUAAACCGCUUUCGCCUGUGACGAAGCGUGAGUGACGGUAAUGGGUAAAGAAGCACCGGCUAACUAAGUG